rnacentral:ncRNA from 1 species
CUUUACGGUGCCGUGAAAACGGCUUAAUAGGGAAUCGGGUGAGAAUCCCGAGCAACCGCCAUUACCGUAUCUGAUGAGAGGCUUUGCAUCGCCAUUGGGAAACUGAGAAGGCGCAAAGCGGCGCGUGUGAAACGCGCUAUAUUCACAAGUCGGGAGACCUGCCGUGGGGUA